CACUGCCAUAAAGGGUUUUUUAAUCGAAGAAAUCGACCCCAGAAUUUGUCUCUAAGCCUAGAACGUAAAAGGCACGUACAUCGUACAAUAUAAGAACGCAGAACAUGAUGCUCGUCUGAUGAAGUUUUACAACCAACCACAUAUACUACAUCAGAAAACAGAUUAAGGACCAUCAGACAAGAACCGAAAAGAAAUAGAGACAAAAAAUGGACAGGAAAAAGGAAAAAGAAAUA